CAGUAAUGGUAUUUUCAUUUACUCUCCUCUUUUUUUCUUAUUUUUCUAUACAGUGUUUGGAGACAUUUUAUGUGUGAAGUAUUACUUUGAAUCAAAUGUCAAACUCAUUCUAUAGAAGGCCGGGUUUCUGCAGGUUUUCACUCCACCCUUGAUUGAUGAAUUAAGGUCACUAAUUAGUUAGAAACUCCUCUCACCUGGUUGUCUAGGUCUUAAUUGAAAGGAAAAAACUAAAACCCGCAGACACUCGGCCCCCCAUGGAAUGAGUUUGACACCCCUGUAUUAAAUAAAUGUUGAUUUGACCAGGGGCCGUCUGCCAGGUCCUGACCACCAGGGUGGGAGACAUCCUGAACAGUACCUGCAACGACGAUUGCAAGGCCAGGCUCAUCAUCCAGAAAGGAUUGGAUUCCGGUGCCAGGGAAAGGUUCCCUGACUCUCCGUGUCCCUCUUCACCCAAGGACGAAGAGGAGGUGGUUGUGAGUGCCAUGACUGUCUCAUACCCUAAACCCUCCACCUCAACCCAGGCAGCAUGGGCAGCUCCUGCCCAGACUCUGGACGUUUUUCUGCCCAGACCAUGCCUGGAUGAAGAAGAGGUAGUGCCCAGCACCUCCUUGAAGGACAACUCUGUGACAACCACCCAUGCAGCACUGGCAGCUCCUUCCCAGAGCCUGGAAGAAGAGGUGGGAGAAGCUGAGGUGUCCCACGUGAGUGAGAGCUCCCUGAUGCCCACCAAGGCCAUUGAGAAGAUUCCCUCCCUCAUACCAGGCAAGAUCCUUAUCGAGGAGGACACCCUCAGUUGCAGCACUCCCUGGGCCACCGUCAUGAGCCCCCAGACCCUGAAGUUCAUCCUCCACGGCAUCAUGUGCCGACUGGAGGCCUCAGAGUCCCCCCAGACAAGGAGGGCCAAUGACCCCUUCAGGCUGAUGAAGGAUCUCUUUCUGGAGGUCCAGCAUGCCCUGAAGUAUGCUGACAUCUCUGUCCUCUUUGGCCUGGAGGAGAGCAUCCAAUUCAUUGGGGAGGAUGCGGUGAAGGCCAUCGUGAAGACUGCAGCUAAAAGAUUGUCCCUGCGUUCGGACUCCAACCGGGCUCAACUGCGUGCCGCACGCUCUGGUGGUGAGGCAGCCAUCAGGUGCAUGGCGGACACCAUCACACAAGUCAUAGAUGACUAUUCCGAGGACUGGAGUUCCGGUGGCCAUUUUGGAGCCAGGAGGAGCCGUGCUAGUGGGAGGUCACACUCCUCAACCUCCUCAAGGAGUGAAGUUACCCUCACCGAGGAGCUCCUGGCCCGGAGGGAAUCCCUUGAAGAGGACCUAGCGGAGAUGGCUGAUGACAGCACUGGUUUGGAGAAGACCAUUGUAAGCUCAGCCAUCUCUGCCAAGUCCCAGGUAAUUAGCUACAUUUCAGACAGCUCCGAGCCCAACAGCUGUGCCCUCUUCACAGACCUCGAGGACAUCACCUCCACACAUGUGAGACAGACAAGAACUAGUAGAUUGUUUAGUUAUUUGGGCUGUUUGAUUGUGAGGCAUCAACUCAAAUCUGUUUCUCUCUCUACGAAGGAGAAGGAGAAGGAAGAGGCUAUGAAGGAAGAAGUGAGGAAGUCAGGAAAGAAGAGGCGAAGAAAUAACAAGGACCAGAAGAAGAACAAGGUGUCUCCUCUUGGCAAUGAUAGUACUGUGGCUGCAGAUGAGCCGAAGAAAAAACAGUCUCUCCUCCCGCGGAUCACAGCUGCCCUGGCAAGACUAUUUUGCUUCCCCUGCAAAAAAAGAUGCAAAAAGUAACUGCAGAGACGAGUUUGGGAAACCCUGAUACCACCUCCCCCAACCCACUUUCUAAAAAAACAUCAGUGCCACCAGAAGAGGGAGACAACCCCCCCUAACUAAUUUGAUUACCCCCCCAUUUAAUUUAAUAAACACAACUUUCAGCUAUUUUGAUCUUCUUUACUUUUUUUUUUACAGACCCACCUGCAUGCUAUAGAUUCGUAAGGUCAAUUUGCUGUGUACUGUCUACAGUAUCAUUGUUAUGAGUAGGUUCACUGUGUCAGUCAUUAUUUUUACCUUUAUUUAACUAGGCAAGUUAGUUUAGAACAAAUUCUUAUUUUCAAUGACGACCUAGGAACAUUGGGUUAACUGCCUUGUUCAGGGGCAGAACAACAUAUAUUUUAGGCUACCUGUCGCUAUAUAGGUAUAGGCUAAAUGCCCUAACCUAAUUGCAAUUUACAUAAUAAGAGUUACAAUAGAAUAAUUCCCUAAUUGUAUCUUUCUUGAGAGGGAAUAAAUCUCUAAUACACUAUACUCAAUACCAUACAGUAAGCACACCACUCUAUACCGAUGCAAGCCCCACCUCCCCGCAGAAUAAAGAAUAGACACGAGUGGAUAAUUGCGGUGUCACUACAAAGGAUACCUUAAUUAAGCCAAUUCAUUGGCUGUGUUGUAAUCUGAUUGGUGUGUGUACCACCUAAUGCAAAAGGUGUAAAAACGCUGAAGCACUCCAUUCUGUUCAUGAUUUCUAUUUAUGAUUGACGCUGCUGUUUAAAGCUAUAUUUUUUAAUGUCUGCCUUAUUUGCAUUAUUACACAUUUGGAGAGGACAGGGGAGAUAGGGUGGACAGCUCCCUGUCUAGUAGUUGUAGCUGUAGUAUCUGGGAUCUACAUCUGUUUAUAUUAGUUACUGUGCUGUUACUAAGCAGUAAUGCAUUACGGCAGUGUUACGUUACUACACCUAAUAGGAAAUGCACAUGCGCACUGGAAUGCCGCGAACUGUAGAGCACGAGGGGUUUUGACUAAACGAAAUCUAACUGUACUCUCGUCUCCUGCCUGGUCAUUUCUCCACAACACAAAUAUUACAGUGGCGACGAGGUGAUUAAACUACAUAAACGGACAUUGCUUGAAGGGAAGAAUGUUGCUUGAGUAAUGAAACUCAAAAUAAUUAUGUAAUUCGUCAGUUAUAUUUAUUUUCUUUCGCCAGUAGAGAAGUCUAAGCACUGCUAGCACUGCUAGUACAGUAUUCAGGAGCUGCCAAGUAGCAAGACUAUUGGAGUCCAGAAUAGCGACACUACCCAUUGAAAUUAGGCGAUCUCAGUGGAGAAAUAUUGACAAGGGGGAAAAAAAGGAAGAAGGGACGUACAUUAAUACAAAUGAGUGCAGUGAAUGAAGUAAUUGCAGAAACUUCUGAAGUGAAGAAGUAGAUGACUAUUCAGAAAAUUAAGGAAUAUAAGGAAACUGAACAAUUAACUGUGAAAAUGGCAACCAUCGGUCGAGUACCAGAGUUUGAGGCUACAAAAGAGGAUUUUGAUUCCUAUUUGGAGCGUUUUGAGCGUUGGCUGAUAAACCCAUCAAUGAUUAGAUUUAUUUGACCAUAAUAAUUUGUUUGGUCCAUAUUAUUGACACUAAAUAGAGGUUAUUUUAACCGUAGCUGUUAAAAGUCCAACAGUGGGAGUGUGCAGCAGACUAAUGAUGGCGCGACUUUAACUCCUGACUAUUUCAGUUAUGGCCAACAGAGGGCAACAUUUAUCCAUAAAAUACGAUUAAACCUCACUGAACCAAAGUGAAUUGGGUUACACUGUAAACUUUAUAGAGAUUUCGUAUGUGAUCAGAAACGAUGCAUUCAUUUACCAGAGUGGUCGCACUGUGUUAUUGUAGUUGACGUAAUCGUGUACAAUGGCAUGACGUAAUAUAUGAGCCUAUGACUUAAACGCACUCAAGAGAAGGUUCAGUGCUUACUUCUGGCUCAGUUGAGUUGAUGAUUUACAAAGGAGAGUCAUCCUCAUGUUCAAAUAAAUCACUUUGAGUGGACAAAGAUGACAUUCUGUGAGUACAGCAAAACGGGCCAAGAUUUUGUAAAAAAAAAAAAUUGAAAUGUAUUUUAAAAUGUAUUUGUUUAUAAAAAAUGUCAGGUCCAAUCUGAAGGGUGCCUGAAAGCACAAUGGAUAGAAAUCAUAAACGGUUGAGAAUAAUUCUUCAAAAAGUAAGUCUCAUAAGUGAUUAAAAAAAUGUUUUUGUUAAUUCUGGGGCUUUCUCUCUUGAUAUGUAAUGGGGCUAUCUUCUUGGUAGUAUAGCCUAUAUGCUGUAAAAACAGAUUGACAUGAUUUAUAGUUGGAAAAGUGGGCAUAAUAAUGGAGGGCUUAAGUUAAAUGUAUUUCCUUAUGAUCCUGUACCCCAGGCUAGGACCCUCCAAGCUAGUGCUGGAGAGCAGGUGCUCCAGACAGACGUCAUUUCUGCUGGCCAUGAUGGAGUAAGGCUGCCAGCCCUGGGAGACUGCCCCAAGGACAGCCCUCUAAAGGUAAGAAACAGCUUUUAGUUCUGAUGCAAAACGUCUGGUUGUAACGGAGACCAGUUGGUUGUAAUCUAGUAAUAUGAUGUGUUGAAAACCAGUUUACAACGAGAUAAUAACACCAUUAAGACACAUGGACCACCUACUAGUUAGAACUAAUAGUAUUGGAAUUCUGAUUGUAAAUAUAAGGUUAUGAUUUAUAGUUGGAAAAGUGGGCAUAAUAAUGGAGGGCUUAAGUUAAAUGUAUUUCCUUAUGAUCCUGUACCCCAGGCUAGGACCCUCCAAGCUAGUGCUGGAGAGCAGGUGCUCCAGACAGACGUCCAUUCUGCUGGCCAUGAUGGAGUAAGGCUGCCAGCCCUGGGAGACUGCCCCAAGGACAGCCCUCUAAAGGUAAGAAACAGCUUUUAGUUCUGAUGCAAAACGUCUGGUUGUAACGGAGACCAGUUGGUUGUAAUCUAGUAAUAUGACGGGUUGAAAACCAGUUUACAACGAGAUAAUAACACCAUUAAGACACAUGGACCACCUACUAGUUAGAACUAAUAGUAUUGGAAUUCUGAUUCUAAUUCUAAGGUUAACCCUUAUGUGACAUGUCACUUAGUACCACCAUGCCUAUGGUGAAAUAGGUGGUUUCUAUGGUGAUAUGAUUUCCCCACUGUUGUUAUAUGUCUCAGAACCUUGUGCCGAAGCCCCCACAAGGCCCCAGGCCCAGCCGAGAGGCCAAUAUAGCAAAGGCAGAAAAGAAGGCCAGAGAGGUUAUCAAGGCUAAAAAGUCUAGGGAGGCUAAGUCAGGGGUGAUAUACGCAAGACGCCAAGUAGUUGGUGUGUUGGCACUGCCUCAAACUCUUAUAUCUCGAACAACCAGUUACAGUGAGUAUUGAUCUCCACUUCCAAAAAUCUUGGAUUUUUUGAUGCAAUUCUAAAAGGAUAUAUGGUGGAAGGAUCCACUAUUAUCUACGACUCUCCUCUUUCUGUAGGUGUCCUGCCAGCUAUCAAGAAGGGCACUAAAGUUACUCAAAUGGAGACAACAGGUGGGUGGGUAUUGGUGACACAGUGUUUAUUUCUGAUUAUACAACUUCAAUAGAAUCUUUACGGUGGUCACUAGCUUGUUCGGUGGUAAUUCUGAUUGUCUUCUGUUUCAGAAACCCCAGGUCCCCUGACACCUAAUGAUGGGGAGAUAAUGAUCUCCUCUCCAUCUGUUGAUGACCUCCUGACCCCAAAGAGUGAUGUGACGUCCGUGGCUAAGAGCGAUGAUGCCUCCUGUCCAAUUUCACCUGAGGCGUUCUCUCUAACGAACUUCCUGAAGUCUCACCCGUGAGUCCUGCUGUGAACCUCUAUAUGUGCAGAACAAAUAUAAUCUAUGUAAACACUAGUUUAAGUUGCCAAUGAUUCCUGGUGUUGGUUUGUUUUCCAGUCAGAGAAAGCUUAUCAGGAAGUUCCUCAAACAAAUGGUAAGUCCCGCAUUUUUUCUGCUUUCAAGGGUGGAGUGAUCAUUGGAAACAACUAUCUUGUAACAUAAAAACUACUAGCUGUCAGAUUGUUUUCUGUUUCUCUUUCUAAGAACGUGACAAUAGGCGACCUGGACGAAAUCAUCGAGUGGGUGGUGUGUGUCUCCA
ensembl:lncRNA